rnacentral:rRNA from 1 species
UCCGAAGGGGAAUAUCGUGGCUCGGAAUGACUGGGCGUAAAGGGCGCGUAGGCGGACUGCACAGUCAGGCUUGAAAUUCCUGGGCUUAACCUGGGGACUGCGUCUGAGACGUGUGAUCUAGAGUGAGGAAGAGGGUCGUGGAAUUUCCAGUGUAGAGGUGAAAUUCGUAGAUAUUGGAAAGAACACCGGUGGCGAAGGCGGCGACCUGGUCCUUGACUGACGCUGAGGCGCGAAAGCGUGGGGAGAAAACAGG